AGUAGACUGGGAGCUAUUUGGAAAAAAGGACCAAGUAUUUUUUAAUCUCUGGAUAUCUAUCUUCUACUUUGAACCAGAGAGAUUCCAUUAAAUGGGUUGUUGGAGGUUUGGGGUAUCCCAAAAAACAGGCCCUGCCUUUCUCUAGGACAAGAAUGAAGCAUGUGAUGGAGCCAUACUAAUCAAACUUAGUCUCCCAGGACUGGAGUGAAUCUUCUCAGAGUGAUAACACAGGAGGGAUGGAGGAAGGAAAUAAACAGUUGGUGCUCACUGGUUGUCUCAUUCCAUAGUGGCAACUUGAUUGGUUUGUUCAAUAGUUCCUGCUCCCAACCUCACAGUUUUGCUCAGAUUUCUGUACUCAUCAGGGUUCAAUCCUCUGGCCCCCUCUUUGAUUUUGUAAGUACUCAAUAAAUUCCGUUUCAGCUCAA